rnacentral:rRNA from 1 species
AUAUCAAUAAGCGGAGGAAAAGAAACCAACAGGGAUUGCCCUAGUAACGGCGAGUGAAGCGGCAACAGCUCAAAUUUGAAAUCUGGCUCCUUUGGGGUCCGAGUUGUAAUUUGCAGAAGAGUCUUCUGGUGUGGCCCCGGUCUAAGUCCCUUGGCACAGGACGUCGUAGAGGGUGAGAACCCCGUAUGUGACCGGUGGCCUAUGCCUCUGUGAAGCUCUUUCAACGAGUCGAGUUGUUUGGGAAUGCAGCUCAAAAUGGGUGGUAUAUUCCAUCUAAAGCUAAAUAUUGGCCAGAGACCGAUAGCGCACAAGUA